GACAGAGGGUGCAAACGUUGUUCGGAAUUACUGGGCGUAAAGCGCGUGUAGGCGGCCAUCUAAGUCGGGCGUGAAAUCCCACGGCUCAACCGUGGAAGUGCACUCGAAACUGGAUGGCUAGAGUCCUGGAGAGGAAGGUGGAAUGCUUGGUGUAGAGGUGAAAUUCGUAGAUAUUGGGAGGAACACCAGUGGCGAAGGCGACCGCCUGGACGAUAACUGACGCUGAGGCGCGAGAGCGUGGGGAGCAAACAGG
rnacentral:rRNA from 1 species